rnacentral:pre_miRNA from 1 species
CUCCAUCAUCCCUUUGCUCCAUCAUCCCUUUGCUCCAUCAUCCCUUUGCUCCGUGAUGAUGGAGCAAAGGGAUGAUGGAGCAAAGUGAUGAUGGA